GCCGUAGCACAGUGGUAUAGCAUCUGCUUUACAUGCAGAAGGUCCCUGGUUCAAUCCCCAGCAUGUCUA